GAUGAACGCUGGCGGCGUGCCUAAUACAUGCAAGUCGAGCGAACAGACGAGGAGCUUGCUCCUCUGACGUUAGGGGAGGACGGGUGAGUAACAUGUGGAUAACCUACCUAUAAGACUGGGAAAAUUUCGGGAAACCGGAGCUAAUACCGGAUAACAUGCUGAUGCGUGUGGUUCAAUAGAGAAAGACGGCUGUUCGGGAAGGUAUAGAGGGAUCUCCGCCGGAUUAGCUGGUUGGUAAGGUAACGGCUUACCAAGGGUAGGAUGCGUAGGCGACCUGAGAGGGUGAUCGGCCACCCUGGAACGGAGACGCGGUCCAGGGUCCUGCGAGAGGCAGCAGUAGGGAAUCUUCCGCAAUGGUCGAAAGCCUGACGGAGCGGCGCCACGUGAGUGAAGAAGGUCUUCGGUUCGUAAAGCCCUGUUAUUAGGGAAGAACAACUGUGUCAGUAACUAUGCACGUCUUGACGGUACCUGAUCAAAAAGCCCCGGCUAACUACGUG
rnacentral:rRNA from 1 species